UUUUGUAUAUUCACACUUAUAUAUAUAUAUUGUGUGUGUAUAUGCAUGUGUAUGUAUUUAGCCGCACACUAUUUUGUUGUGUGCGUGUGUGGUAUCUUCUCUGUACAUAUAAUAUGCGCUUGCUUCUGAAAAAGAGCUUACGUGUGCGUAUGCAAAAAACAACAACACACACCAUGCACAAGUGGUAACCUUCCCUUGUGUUGUGUGUGGUGGUGAGGAAGAGAGGUGAUAAUGAGGGGUGGUGGUGGUGCGUGUUGGAAUGGUGUGUGUGGUGGUUGGUUGGUGUCAAAGGCACCAACCAACCACCAACCAACCAAAAAAACCACCUUCUCCUCCUUCUCCUCCCUCUCCCUCUGCCCUCUCUUUCACUCUCAGUCACUUUGUGGUCUAUACCGUGUCUUUUUACGUGUGCGUGUUAUGGGAAAAGUAGAGAAUAGCGUCACAUAUAUGUAUAUAUAUGUAUAUGUGGCCCCCGUUUCACGCAAAAGAGAGCUUUCUCUUUUCUUCUCAGUUGUGUCGGGGGGAUUCUUCGCGGUCUUUCAUUGUGCAACAUGCAGACAGAGAGCGCACCCCGCUCUCGCUCGGGACGACAGAGGGAAGUUUCUUCUUGUUCAAAAAAUACUAAUUC
rnacentral:misc_RNA from 1 species